CCAGCUCCAAUAGCGUAUAUUAAAGUUGUUGCAGUUAAAAAGCUCGUAGUUGGAUUUCGGAAGGUCCUUAGUAAUCCGCCCCUUCGGGGAGCGGGUUGCUGGCCUCCUAUGUUCCUAACGGUCCUCAUCCGCGAGGGUGGGGAAUCAACCGCUAGGAUCGUUUACUUUGAGGAAAUUAGAGUGUUCAAAGCAGGCGUAACUCGCCUCCGAAUACGUUAGCAUGGGAUAAUGGAAUACGACUUCGGUCUUGUUUCGUUGGUUUCGCUUGGCUGAAGUAAUGAUUGAUAGGGACAGUUGGGGGCAUUAGUAUUUAGUUGUCAGAGGUGAAAUUCUUGGAUUUACUGAAGACUAACUAGUGCGAAAGCAUUUGCCAAGGAUGUUUUCAUUGAUCAAGAACGAAAGUUAGGGGAUCGAAGACGAUUAGAUACCGUCGUAGUCUUAACCAUAAACGAUGCCGACUAGGGAUCGGCGGGGGACGUUUAGCGUUCUCGCCGGGACCUUGCGAGAAAUCAAAGUUUUUGGGUUCUGGGGGGAGUAUGGUCGCAAGGCUGAAACUUAAAGGAAUUGACGGAAGGGCACCACCAGGAGUGGAGCCUGCGGCUUAAUUCGACUCAAC
rnacentral:rRNA from 1 species